CAGUAGCCGCGGGAAUACGUAGGUCCCGAGCGUUGUCCGGAUUUAUUGGGCGUAAAGGGAGCGCAGGCGGUUUAGUAAGUCUGAAGUUAAAGGCAUUGGCUCAACCAAUGUAUGCUUUGGAAACUGUUAGACUUGAGUGCAGAAGGGGAGAGUGGAAUUCCAUGUGUAGCGGUGAAAUGCGUAGAUAUAUGGAGGAACACCGGUGGCGAAAGCGGCUCUCUGGUCUGUCACUGACGCUGAGGCUCGAAAGCGUGGGUAGCGAACAGGAUUAGAUACCCCAGUAGUCCCUGUCUCUUAUACA
rnacentral:rRNA from 1 species